GUCAUGCCAAUGGCACUGCCCGGUAGCUAAAUGCCGGAAGAGAUAAGUGCUGAAAGCAUCUAAGCACGAAACUUGCCCCGAGAUGAGUUCUCCCUGAGACUUAGAGUCUCCUGAAGGAACGUUGAAGACGACGACGUUGAUAGGCCGGGUGUGUAAGCGCAGCGAUGCGUUGAGCUAACCGGUACUAAUGAACCGUGAGGCUUAACCUUAC
rnacentral:rRNA from 1 species